GAUGAAGAACGCAGCGAAAUGCGAUAAGUAAUGUGAAUUGCAGAAUUCAGUGAAUCAUCGAAUCUUUGAACGCACAUUGCGCCCGCCAGUAUUCUGGCGGGCAUGCCUGUUCGAGCGUCAUUUCAACCCUCAGGGCCCUUUUGGACCUGGCGUUGGGGCUCGGCCGCUACCCUGCGGCCGUCCCCGAAAGAUAGUGGCGGUCUCGCUGUAGCCUCCUCUGCGUAGUAGUUACAUCUCGCACUGGAACGCGGCGCGGCCAUGCCGUUAAACACCCCACUUCGCAAGGUUGACCUCGGAUCAGGUAGGAAUACCCGCUGAACUUAAGCAUAUCAAUAAGCGGAGGA
rnacentral:misc_RNA from 1 species